UUCCCUUUUUGAGUUUGUCUUGUUUGAUCUCAUUAUUGGCUUUUACUACUCUGUUUUCCAGCUUGUAUUUUCAUCAUCAGCU
rnacentral:sRNA from 1 species